rnacentral:tRNA from 1 species
GACUUUUUAACUAUAAUAAGUGUAUAUUUUGAAAAUAUAAAAAAGAAAUAAUUCUAAAAGUCU